rnacentral:lncRNA from 1 species
GACUCGUGUUCGGCUCGAUAUUCGGCUCGCUCGAGCUCGACUCGAAAUUAAAUGAGCCGAGCUUGAACAAAAUAAAAUGCUCGAAAUUCAUUUCAAGCCGAGCUUGAGUAUUACUCGGCUCGUUCGAAUUAGGCUCGAAAAGCUUGAAAAGCUCGAAAAUAUAUAUAUAGGCUGGGGCUACUAUACUCUUAUGAGUAUAGACCCCCUUGUACUCAUAAAUUUUUAACCGUUGAUUGAUGGGAUGUAUAGUUAGGAUGAUGGUGGUCCCCACUUAGAAUGACAGUGGUCCCCUAGGGUUGAGUGGGUAGUUGGUUAAAUAGUAUGAUCUAACGGAUGAAAAUGAUUAAUGAAAUAAAUCUAAGGGUCGAAAACUUAUGAGUAUAAAGGAGCCAAUACUCAUAAAAGUAUAGUAGCCGGACUCAUAUAUAUAUAUAUAUAUAUAUAUAUAAAUAUAAUAUAUUUUAAUUAUAUAUAGGCUUUAAUUUAAUUUGGGCCAUUAUUAUUGGUCCAUAAAAUAAACCCAACAAGUACAAUCGUACAAUUGAGUCCAACUCUAAAUUUACAUAACACACUCUCUCUUUCAGACUUUCACUGUUGCACAUAACCCUAAAAUAUGAUAACAUUCAAAUUUUCAAAUCCCUUUUUUUUUUCCUCUCUCUCUCUCUCUCUCAGACCCUCAUCUAGUCAGGAAGUCACCCUAGCUCACAUUUCUUAUAAUUAUUUUGUAUUUUAAACUAUUGGACAUGUUGCAUCAAAUUGUAGGUAAUGUUUUAUAAAAAUUAAACUAUUGAUUAUAUAAUGUCGAGAAUUUCAAUCGGCUCGUUUAGAGCUCGAGCUCGGCUCGACUCGAAAUUAGGCUCGCUCGAGCUCGGCUCGAAUUAAUUUCAAGCCGAGCUUGAGCCUAGAUUUAGGCUCGAAAUUAAUUUCAAGCCGAAUUUGAGCUGACAUAAGCUCGCU